rnacentral:lncRNA from 1 species
AGCUUCUUUCGCAUCCUGGGGGAGAACUCCAUCUCUGAGAUAGAUUAUCAGUGGGUCGACCCAGCUGGGCUCGUGGUCAAUCUCCAUCACGGGCCGUGAUUCUUCUGUACUCCGGUGCUUUAGAACUUCAAAGAGAACGCCUUGGGGCAAUUCGGCCGGAGCCGACGUCGCCAGCUUGGAGAGAAGGUCAGCCCUGGUAUUUUCCAACCUUGGAAUCUGUCUAAUGUUGAAGCUGCUAAAGG